GCCUGCUCGCAUCGCCUCACGGCCACAGAGAACGGCUCGGGUUUUCCCCGGGUCGCUGGGCUUCUUACCAGGCCUGCAGUCUCCAGCUGCAGCCUGACUCCUCUACAAGUAACCUUUUUCUUAUGGAGUGUUACCGCACAGUCAGUGGCUUCAUGGAGGGCAAAGCAUUGGAGUCAUACUGACAGCCUAGUGCUUCAGCAAAAAGACUAUUGACCAUCUACCUGCUGGAGCCACCUGGUAACUCCAUAAAGUCUGCAAACAAGUUAGAUGUACAUUUUUUUCUGAGGCUCCUUCUCUCCAAUCAAGGAGAAAUGGAAGGCACAUUUCCCCCAGGACCAGAUUCAAGAAAAGAUAAGUGAUACUGUUUUUUCACCCUUGCUGUGAGACAGCAAAAAUGGCUAGUCAUGGAGUAAAGGGAGAGUGGUGGUUUAGAUUUAGUUGUUAAUGAAUCUGGU